GGAGGUGGUAGCUCAUUGGUUAAGACGUCGGGCUACUGAUCAGAAGGUUGUGAGUUCAAAUCCCAGCACUGCCA